AAUUAAAGCUGCAAAAACUGGCAUAACAUCUCUAUAUGUAAGUUGACAAUAGAUAUAUGUUAGCUUCAGUUGCUUAUUGGCUUACGACCCUAACUAUGUCCAAUCUUCAGGACAAGUUUUGAGUCAGGUCAUAAAGGUGGAGGUGUAGAAACGAUUGCAAAUACAUCCUGAGUAUAUUUAUCUCACUUGAGGCGCUACUUUUGUGGUAAUCAUUAAUAACUUGUUGUCUCCUAAAAAUUUAUGCCAGCUAUAUAUACACCCCUUCAAGUUUUUAUGUUCUUCUGGGGAUGGCUCUGCUAGCAGCCUGGCAUGCUGUUGCUAGAUCAUUGUCAUUUUAGUUAUACUUUUGUGAAGAGAAUUAUGGGUCCUGAGUUUUAUCUUCCUCAGCUCUCCGUUGAAGGUGGCCCAAAAACUGGAGUUUACAUUGAGUACUUAACCCUGAACAUGAAAAUUGUAA
rnacentral:lncRNA from 1 species